rnacentral:misc_RNA from 1 species
GAAAUGACAGAGGCAAGAGGAAGGACGAGACAAACAGACGACGAUGCGUCAAUGCGAGACGUCGGCCGGGUUCUCGCGAAAGGAACAAUCGCGACGAUUGCGAAAGAUGAGAAGUCCAAUAGAGACUCGACGACCGUUGAGCCUGUGACGGAACAGGUGAAAGAGAAAACCUUCGUGACCUUGCAGGAGAACAGUCGAGAGAAGAAUACUGCAAAAGACGAAGACACAUCGUUGAUUGAUAAAGAGAGAAUCGAAAAGGAAGUAGAAGAAUUAGUCGAGGAAGCGAAAUAUAACGUCUACUUUAGUGGAGUGAACAGAGGAAGAGGAGGAGGCGAAGGUCAAACCAAAAUUUGGAGACAGUUUGCGUGCACAUCGGAACAGGGAAACAUGGCGAAGGUCAAACAGUCGCCGGGACCUUCAGUUUCCACACAACUGAACACCACGCGCAUCACAUCGCCGACCGGUAGAGCGAGAUCUAAAACGUUCCCCCAUUUGAAGUUGAACAAAGUGGACCCUGUUGAGGCAAUGACUAUAAGUAUAUCUGAAGAGGAUCAUGUCAGUGGAAGACCAAGGCACGAAAUAUCACACGAAACAACGCACGUUAAUCGAACUGCUAGAGGAGUAUGAGACGUUCACGUUGUUAAAUGAUCAAGUUCUGGAAAAUCGCAAUUCCAACAUCUUUGCCAUAUCUGUUCGUAUUUCAGGACGAAUUCACUGAAUUGUCGAGCCCUGUGGAUCGUCAAAUGACAGAUGCUUGCCCCUCUUGCGAGCGACAGAAGGAUCUCACACCCACCUCAGAUAAUUAUAGAUAUUAUACUGUUUAUAUGGACAAAAGGAGAUACUUGUGCGAAUUGUGUGCACCGUUAAGUUGUAAAAAGGUAAUGGCGCAAACUCGUCCAACGCGAAUAUGCUUGUUUACUGAAGGAAAAAAGAAAUUAUCAUCCCAUACGUUCGGUUAAAAAAUUCGUUCUGUAAUUGCGCAGAGCUCAUCAAUGAUACAUCGGAAAUCUCUUAAAUUCGCCGUUGAAAACAAUUUUCGUUAAUUUAAAAAAUCAAUUUGCUGACAGAAAAAUAUUUUUGUGCACUUUAGGUGACACGCAAGAUUAACGUCGCAAAGGGACUGCGGUGUAGUAAUUGUGGAGUCUCUCUUCAAGUCGUUGAUGUAAGUUGAAACAGUGACCCAGUAAUGAUCAUCGAAAUUAGGUUUCCUGGAUACUUGCUGCGUUCAUCUUGAUUUAUGACGUUAGAAGCGAGAAAAUACAUGCUCAAAAUCCCGCCUAAUGCGUUAAAAUAAAAGAAUGACGUUCCAAAAAAUGAUACUUGCAGUCAAUUAGUUGCAAAAAGGGCAAAUAUUUCAUUUAACGGAACGAGAUACGAGAUUGACUCUGACGUGCGUUGUCAAAGUCAUCACUCUGAACAACACUC